rnacentral:lncRNA from 1 species
UGGCCUGUAGGAAACGACUUGUGGCAGACGGAGCACUCAUGAAGUCUACCUGUUGGGUUGAGAGCGGAUACAUUAGAAGCGGUGCUUGCGGCGUUGGCGGUGGAUGUCGACGUGGAAGGAUUUCCAUCGUCCGGAGCGAUGGCGGUGGAGUUCUUGCGGUGGCUUGCUUUAUGUCCGCCGAGUGCUUGGUACGUGGGAAAAGCCUUGUUACAGACGCUGCAGCUGUAUGACUGGUUCUGGGUCGUCGGUGGCGAUGGUGGUGGCGGUGGCGGUGUAGAAUUUUCUGUUUGCUUCUUAAUAUCGUCUAUGGCCGUUGUGUCAGAGGGACUGCUUGUAUUAUCCGAGGGACUGGCGGUGGCUCCACCGCGGUCUCCGCCGCUGCGAGCAAGCAUGAUGAGACAGAGGGCCAAAUAUUCUUCAUCUGUUGGUGGGUUUUCACUUUCACUGCGGGCACGCUUUGAGCGCUUUCUUUUUGUCCAGGAAUCAAGAUUCCGCUCAGCAUCUUCAUACCCAAGUCCCGGUGCCGUCGAAUUCAGAG